GACGUAGGGCGCGAGCGUUGUCCGGAUUUAUUGGGCGUAAAGAGCUCGUAGGCGGCUUGUCGCGUCGACUGUGAAAUCCCGCGGCUCAACUGCGGGUCUGCAGUCGAUACGGGCAGGCUAGAGUUCGGUAGGGGAGACUGGAAUUCCUGGUGUAGCGGUGAAAUGCGCAGAUAUCAGGAGGAACACCGGUGGCGAAGGCGGGUCUCUGGGCCGUAACUGACGCUGGAGGAAGCGAAAGCAUGGGGAGCGAACAGG
rnacentral:rRNA from 1 species